UAUUCACGUGUCUUGGCGCUGACUGUGGUGGCGCAUCCAAGGUUCUUUAAUGGCGGUAGGCCGUUGGCUGUGUUGGAUGCGCAUAUCGUCGGUUUUGGAUUGAAUUUAAGAUUUUCACAUGCAUGUUAUAGAGUUUCGAUCCCGGAAUUGCUCGUCGUGUGGUGCUGAGCUAGAAACCCAAGCAUCCAUAAAUAUUGAAACGUGAACGAAAGACCUGAAUUGAGUGAGAUUGCGAGGCGUCUGGAAGUGAGAUUCAUCGAUUGGUGUAUGAAUCCUCGGUCUCCGAUCGAAGGAAGGCUCGGUUUGUAGAUUUUAGCAUUCAUCGGAAGGUUGCUCCACUUAUCUCCGAUUUCUUCUUUCCUUGGAAUAGCCUGUUGCUUCGUUCUCGUGGAAGAGCUGCAUGGUUGAAUUGGAAGCUUUUAAUCAAGCCUGGCCAUGGCGCCAGAAUCUCCUCAGUUCAUAUGAUGGAUGAAUCAUCUACAGCUUCAACGAAGCUCCUGCAGAAAUGAAAUCAUCAUGUUUCUCGAUGAUCCAUUGCUCAAAUUUAUUGGCAUUGAUUCAAAAGGCCACAGGGUAACUGCUGUGGUAACAAGUUUUUGUGCAGGUAUAGUUGAGCUUCCAUGGACGGCAUCCAAGGUUAUCAGAGGCAUGCUUUAACUUAUAGAGAAGAACAAAACAGCUGUAGAACUUUGCGAAUAACAGUUACAUCCCAAACAUGGAUUGAAUCCAAAAGCAUAUUAUAAUGAGUAAUUCUCUUACGAGAAUUGGAAACUGUUUCAGUUAUUUUUUAUCCACUCAAUGAAGCUAUUGAAAUUCUUGUAAGAGCAUCCUUCCCUGACGCUAGCCAUGGCCUUUACCUGAAGAUUCAGGGCUCUCUCCUUGUAGCCUCUAUCCUUCAAAAUGUGUUCUACUUUGUCCUGUAUUUCUCCUUUUCUAAUGAUACUGCUUUCGCCUUCUCUGCUUAAUCCCAAUCCAGUUUUCCACACAUCGCAAAUGUAGGUCUUGUUUAUGAACUGAUCACCGAAAUACGGCCAGCACAGGAAAGGGACUCCAUUGGCAACACCCUCUAUGGUGGAAUUCCAUCCGCAAUGGCUUAUAAAGAUCGCCACGGAUGGAUGAGACAAGACCUGUUGCUGCGGCGCCCAUCCUACAAUUAGUCCCCGGUCGUGUACCCUCUCUUUGAAGCCUGCCGGAUAUGCAUUGCCGGAGUUUGGUGUUAUGUCUUGCCUUACAACCCAGAGAAACGACAUGUUGGUGAGUUCAAGCCCCAAUGCUAGCUCUUCAAACUGCGACUGAUCAAAGACAGUGUAGCUACCGAAUGCAACAUAUAUGACUGAAUCCGGCGGCUGCUGAUCCAACCAUGGUAUGCAAUCCAAGUCCUGUGGCCAGAAGUGGCCUACUUCAUUCGCUAGCCGGUUGCUCGCCAGAAGAGGGCCGACAGGGAUGAUAUUUGGAAACUGCGAAAAGACGGCGGCCUCCAAUUCAGGAGAUGAAUUGCAAAGGAGGCGUUCUGCUGAUCUGCAUAAAAUGCUAUCUUUCCGAAGGAUAUCGAAGAUAAUCUCUUUUGUGGCCUCAUCAUCGUAACACCGCCAUAGGGAGAGGAUUGCAGAGCUCAUUUCUGGCAUGGCUGGGAAGAACCGCUCGAUUGUCUGGCCAUUCAGGAUCCUUCCUGCAGGGAAAAUUGUUGUGAUCAGCUUAGGAAUGGUGGAGGACACAGCCACCGCUGCAGCGGUGGCCGGCCAGAAGGCGGCGGAUCUGAGCCGUAGCUUUUCAGCGACCUGAAACGCCCAUCCGACGCUCCAAUCAGCAACAAGGCAGUUGAUCUUAUCAUUAUC